UAGCGUAGGGGGCUAGCGUUGUCCGGAAUCAUUGGGCGUAAAGAGCGUGUAGGCGGUCCGGUAAGUCCGCUGUGAAAGUCGGGGGCUCAACCCUCGAAUGCCGGUGGAUACUGUCGGGCUAGAGUGCGGAAGAGGCGAGUGGAAUUCCUGGUGUAGCGGUGGAAUGCGCAGAUAUCAGGAGGAACACCGAUGGCGAAGGCAGGUCUCUGGGCAUUAACUGACGCUGAGGAGCGAAAGCAUGGGGAGCGAACAGG
rnacentral:rRNA from 1 species